ACGCAUUAAAAUAAUUGGUCAGCAUAUCGACAUUUCGUCAAUAUAUUAACGAAAUCCCACCAUGCCUUUAAAAACCUUGGUGAGUUGAAAUGUCAGUUGAAAUCAAAACAAAACAAAACAAAUUUCACCGGUUACGACGUCGUUCCAGAAAACCGAACAAAACCCGUGGAAUCGGUGGCCGGGGAAGGUGGUGACGAUGCAGAGAAAGUCAGGUCAAGGUGUGUUUCCUCUUCCUCCGCCGCAAGAGUGCAGAUUGGAAAAUGAUAUGGUUCUUGGAAACGUAGGAUAGUUGCUUAAACAAUGGCAGUGUGGUGUCUGAUCGGUUGCAGAUCGAACCGUCCCGUUCCAUUAGAUCGUGGUCAAUCGCGAUCCCGCAGCCAUUAGCCAUUUGCAGGAGUUCUCUUUCCGAGUCCGGGUCUGCAACGUCCACCGACUCCGGCCUAGAUACGUCCUCUUGCGAAUGUGUUUUGAUAAACACGAAAAAACAGUCCUUGUUUUGGGAGACAGAUUUUCUAACGAGAAAACAUUUUUGAAGACGCGCAAUAAAGUUUUGUUUACGUUUGUUCCCGGCAGAUAGUUCUAUCAGAAUCGACGGCUUCGAUUCAAAAUGGCCAGAUCAUCUUGGUGUUGAAAAUGCACCCGACUGGCGAGAUCGAGUUCAACAACAAAACGAUAGCAUCCUCCUGCUUGCCGACUUGAUCGAGACCCGAAGCAAAAUACGAGCAGAGAAAAGAACCUCCCAAUCUCCGUCAAUCUCCUCCAGCUAGUGAAGUGAAACGACCAAGAAUCGCUUCCCCAGCGAUAGUCUCGAGCCAGCAACUUGGACGAGUAGCAAAUUCUUUGACGAUAAGUGCACCGAUUGGCGCUGUUCGACGACGACGACGACAGUCUGGAAACGUUUGAAAUCCGCUUCAAAUCCCCCGCCAUGGAAAGUGACGACCCCAAAUUGGUUCCAAAUCGAGGAACAUAGUGUGGUGAACCAGAUCAACCAACUGCCGGACGCGGAUCGCAACGAACGAAUGUUUGUCAUAUUUGGCGAGGUGAUGGACGUGUAAGAGCGGAGGCUAGUUGGACGUGCAGAUUUCGGACCGGUCUGAUCGAAAACUGGUGGUGAGAUUCCACACGGACGUGAUUGCCGGGAUGAUGAGGCACCAUGGGGACGCGAUGUAGACGAUGAAACGGGACAGGAUCGAGGAAAGGUUAAAGUUGUUGAGAAGAUUUUGAUCCGGUUCAAAAACAACCUCUGCAAGAUUUGCUCGUUUAUGUGCAUCCAGUACGAUCGCAGCGGAGACAUUCCGAACAUGAGGGAACUGCACGAGUCCACCGCCCCACGGUGAAAAAUCACAGAUCACAGAAGGCGAGUACAUCAGGAUUCUUCGAUAACCUCAUCCAAGGCAAGACGGCGCAGACCAAGGCGCAGACGAAUCCCGUGGGGCCCGCGGGAAUGUUCUGCCUUCGACGUGUGAGACUCGCAGAACCAAACCACAUACGACAAUACAAAAGAGAUGAACCGUUUGAAACAUCGACGACGACGACGACUUUGGUCUGGCACUGUCCGGUGGUGGCGGAAGUUCUUAACCCAACUCGAGCCUUUCCAGCGCAAAGGUGGAGGUGCUAAAUCCAUUUCAUCUCAGUUGUUGAACUUUUUCAACCAGACCUACAAACGGUUCACGGGAUACAAGCCGACGCAGAUCUCAAACUCUUUGUGUUAAAUCUUUUCAGCAUUUUUCAAUUUUCAUUUUUUUGUAAAUAUAGUACUGUUUUCGCUUUUUAUUCAUAAACCACCGAAAAAAGGGAGAGGAGGGGUACGUUUCGUCCUGUAGCAUGCCCUAGACACCCUGGCAAGAACGCUAACAAUGCCAUAAUUUCGCCAUAGCCAUAACCUCGUUAGCCGUAGGCACGCCGGAAGUCGUCAUGGAUGAACUUCCCGGGUAAUCCUCUUCUUCUUGAUGGUUGACUAGGGAGAGAUGAGCUUCCAGCUUCCACAGAUUGUGAGCAAUCUUUAUGUGUGUGUAGUGCUGUGCGACCGGCGUGCUGGAGACGGUUCCGCGGAACCCACAGCAAAAGUCCAGGGAUGCUGAAAAAACUUUGACACAUUAUGCUCCAAGGGCAGAUGGAGGCCAAUACAACCAAUUCUGAAAGAAGUUGUUGGCUUCGUUGUUGAGCUUCCGUGCCGUUAACAUCUUCGGGCACCACACAACUCAAACAACAUGAUUGUGGAGUGUGGACCGUUCCGGAUACUUUCACCGAAUCCUCGUCCACUUCAUUUGAUUCUGUUUUUUUUUUCCUCGUCGGACGGCUCAGACAGAAGGGUCAUACGAAGGUGUCGUAGAUUCCGGAUAUCCGUGUCCCAGUGUCCGUGUUAAACUCCGUUUUGCGCAAACUUUUUUGAAAAUGAAAUGCACGACUCAGACAAGUCCAUGUUAUUGUUUAUAAGAUGUCAAAUUGAACCGAGAUUAAUAAUACUCGGUGGGAACGCUAGCUCAACUAUUCGUUGAUCUAUUGACGAAAAUAUCAAAACCGCCGUCAAUAGAUCGACGAAUAAUA